CCCAAGCAUUUCUGGCAGAAAUGCAAUAUGCUGAGUUGCCUGCGAUUUGAGAAUGCUUUUUAGUGAAGAAAAAAAAAAAAACAGGAAAAAUAAUUUCUGGAAAAUUUCCACCAUGGUUAUCCUUGCUCCCGUGCUGACACUUCUUAAUCUGUUUUGUUGGUCUUUGACUUCUUUUCUGACUCUUGGUGACAUUGGCAGAACCUGGAGCUCAUCCACAGAGAGAAAUUUAGAUUUGAAAAAUGGAUUUCACUUGCUCUUGUGAAGAUAUACCUACUUUCUUAUCCACUUCUGAGCCUUGCAAUUCUUCACUGGUGAAAUGAGAGGGUUUAGCUCAAUGGCCUUCCUUCUGGCUUUUACAUUCUAGGAGUCUACAGUUUCUCUCUCUGGCCAACAGAACAUCCUUUAAAAAUGCUCAGGGCAGAAGAAGGCUAGGGCCAAAACACAAACUCAUUCGGUGACUGCCGUGGACAAGUGCCUGGAGCAGCGACUCCGUCUUGAAAAACUUCUUUUCCUGUGGAUGCUAAUUCAGCAGGGACUCUUGCUGGAAAAGACAUUUGUAGAAUAAUCUGUAAGUCAUUUGGGGUGUGAUAGGAGGAAUCAGUGCUCUCAGUCAGGUGGAAGGCAAUCUCAUACACUUACAUGCAAUCUUUAAUCUGCCUUGGGAAUAGGCCAAACAACAUGCCAUGCAAACUUGCACAAGAAUCUUGAUAAGGGAACGCUUUAAGUCUUUCCCCCUAACAUCCGUAAAGCGCAUGGUUCUUUGGACUUUUUAUAGGAAAACAGCCUGAGCUUCAGCUGAGAUAAUUGUAAGAUGCUUAUACUUCGGGCUCUCAGGGGACAUUUUAGGAUUCAGGGGGCUUUGUCGUUACUCACAGUUUUUUCAAAGUUAUCUGCUGGUAGUAGCCAUCCCAGGAGUGGCUUCCCUCUGCUUUUACAGAACCUUUUGAUGCUGGAGGUUUGCCUGUGUCUGAUUAGUCUUCCUUUUACCUCAAAACUGGACACUGACUUCAGAGAGGCAGAGGAUAAAUGAAUAGGGCCUCCUGCCCCGCCUACCCCCAGACCCUUGUUUAAAUCACCCUGCAGAUUCAGUGCAGGCCUGACAUUUCAGGGUCCUGAAGUCACUUUCAAUUUGUCUAGGUCAGUCUCCACUCUUGCAAUUGGGCCAUUUUCCCAUUUAAGAUCCUGGUCCAACGAAUGUCUUAGUCUACUCUCAAGCAAUUGAAAUUCUGGCGCAUCUUGAAUCGAUCUGCUUAAGACCUCCGGGCCUGUGGCUAAUCCCCUAGCUGAAUCUCUUUUAGUUUUCCCUUGAAAAAAAUAUCUUUAGAGGUUGCUAGAAUUGUAGGAAAUUGACGGAAAAUGGGAGAGGAUGCUCUACAAUGCAGAGAGGUUUGAAAAAUUCUGCUUGGAUCUUUCCAAGGAUUUUUCCAUCUUUGAGUGAUCCAGAACUUUUAUUAAGGGAGACAGUCUUACACAGGCCUGCUGAGAAUACGGGGCCCCUGGGCUGUGAAAGCAGACUUAACAUGCCUUUGUGUGUGUGGCCAGAAGAAAAAUUGAGCAGGUGUAAAAAGAGGGUCCAAAUAAACGGAACUGGCUGGAAAUGUCCACCAUAGCAUAUACGCUAUGUCCUUGACUCCUUCUGCAGCUGGGCCUUUGCACAUGCUGUGUCUCCCACUGGUGAGCAUACCUAUAUAGGUUAUGGGGUAUGAAAGAAAAGUGCCCCCCAUCUUCUCUACCCUGAGAUGCUCUCUGUUCACGUGAGCACUGUGCUUGGUAGGUGAUUUAGGAGUUUAAUUCAUUUUUAAGGGGUAGGAAAUAUGGAGAGAAUAGACCCUAUGAAUGCCAAAUGACCACUGACUGAUCUGAAGCUUAGUGAGGACAUCGGCCAGGACUCAGAGGAGAUGGGAUACAGUCGGAAGGAGUCUUUGCCUCCAAUAUCUUGGAUUGUACUAUUAGAGAGUUUUCCCUUUGACUGAGGCCUUUGUUCGUAUGAAAAUGCAGAUAUUCCCAAGAGAGCCGUGUAGGAAACCUUAUCAUCCAUUUGCACAGUUCGUUUUUCAUUUGCGCUGUUAUUCUCUGUAAUGGUAUUUUUUUACCUGUGUGAAAUGUCACAUGCUCAGAUGCAUUCAUUUUAUAGAGCUCUAAAGCUGAUAACCUGAACCAAAAUGCACAUUUUUGGUGUUUUAUUUUUCUUUUCUGCAGUAAUUUCAAAGGUGUAACUGAGCUUAGCUCUAAAUUACUGGUUUUAGCUCUUCAUGGCAGGCGGCAUUUGAUCAUUGACAACUCUGUUUUCUUCAUUGUUUCCUGACUAAAAUCCCCACAGCCUCUAUAAAUAUGUAAAUUACCCAAAUCACUAGUUUUCUAUUAUUGCUGCCCCUAAGCUGCUUAAAAUGUUUCUAUAUUCUUACAUUUGCAGUGCAAAACAGAGCAGCAGGUGACAGCUUAUUAUCGAACCUCUAUUUAGCAACUACUCGUCUCAAAGUUUCUGAGAAUAAGUUUUUCCUAGGGUGGUUCUGUGACCCAGGUAGAGACUGGCCAAGGCUAGGCGCUGGAGGGGAUGGAAGAGGAAUACAAGCAUGCAUGUGUGUUUGUGAAGGAAUUGUGCAGAUCUCAUGCCACAUGCAUUGCUGGGUGCGAACUGCGAUUUUAUGACAGAGGACGCAGAAGGGAUUCUUCUUA
ensembl:lncRNA